ACAAGCAACCGCUCCAUCCUGCCUCCUCGACACCUCCAGCGCGUCGCUGCCUCCUGCCACGCCCCACCCUGCCUCACCGCGCGCCGCUGGCCGCCGCCGCCCACCUCGCUGGCGCGCCUACCCCUACCCCGAGUGCCCCCACACCCGCAGCCUUCCACUGCCGGCGACCCGUGGCCUGCCACCGCCGACGACGAGGAACUGUCGGAUCUCGAUGAAUCCGGUGAGGACGGCGCGUAGGCAGCGAAUCUGGAAGGAAGGCGGCCGGGGCUUGAAGCACGACGGCUGGACGGCACACCAUGGCAUUGGGGGGAGGGGGGCGUCCGAUGCUCCGCCCGUUUGUGUCCGCGCGAGGAGCUCACCCCCAAAGAACUCCUCGGGCGUCCUGCGGGCCCAGGCCGGAGGCGGCAGUUCCCAGCGCGGGGGCCGACAGGAAGGUGCCGAUUCGGAUCUGCGGGGCUGACAACGCGCCUGGCGCCGACGGGGAACGCGGGAGGGCAGCAGCUCACGGACGAGGAGGCCCCCGCGGCGUGGGGGGGCCUCGAGGCCGGCGCGGGCGGCGGGAGGGGGGACUCGCCGUACCAGGGCUAUGAGGUGCAGCGUCUGGCGAGGUGGGUGGACCACGCGCUGCCCUUCUCCCUGCUCCUCCUCGGCGUCUUCAUCCGCCAGCACCUGCAAGAGAGUUGCUGGUCAGAAGAUGAUGGCGAGUUCCUCAUUCCAAUUGAGUUUAUAUUGUGUAGGUUUCUUCGUAAUGAUUUGGAUUACCGCAGUCAUGUUCAAGUCCAAUGAUAUCUUGCGCAAGCAGACCGCUCUUAAGGCUACAAGGUUGGGGGAGCGACCCUGCCAUUGUCAUGACGGCUGCUCCUUCUGGCCGGAUCGAGGCAUGAAGACCUGUGGGAUCCCCUCCUUCGGCAGGACCUCCUCAUCUGGAGGACUGCAUGUGAUGAGUUAAGGCACAAGAAGAUCUACGACCAUUUUAGCUCCAGCAGUUAGUACACAACCAAUCAACAGUGCAUUUUCACGACCCAGGCUUCUGAAUUCUGACUGACAGGCUCGCAGGCACAGCCACAUCUAAUCUCACGCAUUCAAAAUGCUAGCUACAUGAAAUACGCCCAGAUUUACGAGUAGAAAUCCAAGGCAUUGCAGUCCAAUUGUUCUAAGGAUUGGAACCAGACGUGUGGCUCAAUACUGCUUGGAACAUCUAGAGGACCUUUGCAAUCUUAUCAAGCUUGACGCUAAACUGGCACUCUUACUUGAUCCCAUAUUACUCCUUCGAACAAUUUGUGCGCAAAGUUGAGGAAAUUGGGGCCAAUAAUCGUGUUAGAAUAAACUUCUUUCUUUCUUUUUCCAUACUGUGGGGCAACAGGAUCUGAGUCCCACUACAUCGCCCUUUGAGAGCAUGGACCACCGAAUGGAAGAAGAUGCCAUCCUUGACUGUCGUUGUCUUUGGCAUGUUGCUACCAUUUUUUUAAUCCUUGCACUGCAGAGACCUCAGUCUAUCCAUGGAUUUGCUAGGAAAAACCAUCUCCGGAAAAAUAGGGCCAAAUUUGAAUUCUAAUAGAGUUGAAGAGACAUAGAGAAAGAGACAGGGAUAAUACUUCCUUGUGGGCUUCCUGAGAAUCUACAAUGAAGAAUAAGAAGGGUGUAGUAACUAAGUAUGCAUGUCAUAACUAAUUCUAUUGAAAAUAGUUAUUCAGGAAAAUUAAGCUAUAUUGAAAUGUUGCAUGAUUCAGAUAUUGGGUCUAUGAAGAUUUGUUUAUGCCAUAAAAAUGCAUAAAUAAAGUCUCGUGUGGCUAUGUAAUUCACUUGUUAUAUGUCAAGUUCGAGCUCCUAAGAACAGGGUGAAACUGUUUGUUCCGAAGAACAGA